rfam:Myotis davidii contig138523, whole genome shotgun sequence.
GGCCUCUCUUCCAUAGGGAUACAGGGAGUUUCUUUUCUCCUCAGCCAAGACUGGAGGCUAAGAUCAACCCUUGAGGGUCAUUGUUGGAGCUGCCCUGAGCUGGGAAGCCUUGUUUUCCUACCUCAGACAUUU